rnacentral:lncRNA from 1 species
AAUCCAAUUCAAUUGGACUUGAUCCAAAAAAAAUUACUCAAUCAAAUUGAGUUAAUUAGCAAUCAAAUCACUAAUUAUAUCUCUCAUAAAUACUGAGUCCAAAUCCGAUGGACAAUCGGGUAUCAAAGUCCAUCGAUAUGAAACUUUGAUCGAAGAGUCCCAAACCAGUGGGACUCUUAACUCCGGUACCCAAAAUGUGUGGAACUCAUGAUCAAAGAAUCUUGAUUCUCGAUUAUAUAGUCCCAGAUACAUAGGACUCAUAGUCCACGAGCAUUAAGACUCUUCAUCAGCCAUCAGAUCAGAUAGGAACCUCUAAUGUGUGUGACCCCACAGGUUUGAACCUAAGCCGGUAGCACAGGAAUCAAUUCCUGUACUAAUCGAAGUAACCAUCUAGCAAUGAUACCCGACAUUCGGAUAGGUUGAAUAGUCACAAUCGCAACACUCAGAACCUAUGUGAAUAUGGUUACUGUAUAAUUCAUCCCUUUUGACCCCUGUGUU